CCGCCUGCGCCUCCCGUGACGCCGCCUGCGCCCCCCUGACGCCGCCUGCGCGCCCCCUGGGUUUUCGGCGACAGCGAAGGAGAGUCCGGGCUGCAGCCGAGCCCCUAGCCGGCGGGCGGCCGCACCGCCGCCCUUAACUGCGAGUCUCCGGUAAGGCAUUUAGCUAGAAGGGGCUUCAGUUCCCCACUUCAAGCCACCACUUUGAAAUCCCUCGAAAAAUCAACCACAGCAACCACUUAUAAAUGAAAAAAAUAACUCUGAUGAAGUAAAAUUUCCUUCCUUUUGAUUUAUGUCUGUGGAUAGAAGGCCAACGCUGUCAGAGCACACACCCUGUGCCGGUCACAUAAGCUGCUGCAGGAGGCUCCUGUGUCGGGGGUCCCCAUUCUUCACCCUCCACAGAUGCAUCCCCUUCUCCACGUGGAGACUCCUCAGUUCCUUCCAUUGAAGAGACAGCGCUGCUUCUCUGGACCCUUGACUCUGAGUCAGGCCAUGUGACUUGUUCUGGUCAAUGGGAUGCCUGCUGAUGUGACACCUGAGGAGGCUCAGGACAGACUUGUGUUUUUCUGUGCCACUGCUGUGAGCGUGUGCCUGGGCUCUGGCUGAGGGAUGAGGUGUGAGGUGAAUCAUCCCAGAUGGGGCCAUCCUGGACCAUCCAACAGCAGCUUCUCUGGACAGGGUGUUCAUAAGAAUGGAAGCAGUGUUUCCUUACUAGAUUCCUUAUUGCUAUAUCUCAUGAACCUACGUAAUCUUGGGGAAAAGCCUGUAUUUCAUGAUGACAAACCUGUCACCAGUAUAGCAACAACAGUUUUUCCAAGAUGAACCGAUACACAACCAUGAGGCAGCUGGGGGAUGGCACCUAUGGGAGUGUGCUUAUGGGCAAGAACAACGAAUCCGGGGAGCUGGUGGCCAUCAAAAGGUAACUGACAUUGGGAUGGAAGAGGAGAAAUAACAAAAUUCAAGAAAGCAAUUUCUAAAGGAUGAAGAGAAAGUUCUAUUCUUGGGAUGAAUGUAUGAACUUAAGAGAAGUUAAGCCCGAAUGCCACCCCUCCCGCCUGCCGCCUGCCCCAGGAACCCAUAUUAACUAGCUGGGCAAUGGUAGUUUGGCUAAGCAUGGGAUUUCCAGGCUGCUGGUUUUUUCUCUGCAUGGUCUACACAAGUUACUCCACUAUCUUCAGUUUCGGGUGUCACAGAUAAGAAAUUUGCUGCCAGUCUGAUGCUUCUUCAUGGUUGUCAUCUGUCUCUGGCUGCUGCUCGAUGGCAUUAAGGAUGGGUUCUAUCUGUUCUUACGGACUGUCUUCUCCAGCUGUGGUGCCAUCAUCUUUCUUUGUUACAUCAUGGGGGUUCAGGUCUCACUGCUGAGCACCCAUGCGACUGCAGUUCCAUGAGUGGUGGCGAGCACCUUGCUCUCUGCUCCUGUGACCCAGCAGUGCAACAGCAGGCAGGCUGCUAGGGCCCUGCCAGGGCAACAGAAGACUUUCUGCUCCAUAACCUCAGAGACAGGAAGGACUCAAUCCAACUGCUGAUUUUCUCCUUGGUCUCUUGUGGAACACACACACAAUGGGGUGAUGUCAAUUUUCAGUUUUCCUCCCAGGAGAUCCCUAACCUCUGGAGGUGAAGCUCAUCAGAGUAUCCAAUGCAUUCUGAUCCUCCCAUAGGACUCAUCUGAUGCCAGCCCUCAGUGCCAGCCCAGCCCAGCCAAGGAAGAAAGCUCCCAUCUGCUCCCCACUCUCUAUCCUCAACUUCCACAAAGCUUGGGGCUUCACCUUCACUCAGGAUUCCAGCAGUGGUUUGGGUCAGGAGAGAGGAAGAGAGUGUAGGCCUGAGAGAAGCAGGAGUGCAAGCUACUUUAGCUUGCUAUCUUCCCAGAAUCCUCACCAACUAUAAUUCUGUGGGUUUUUUUCUUUUUGUUUUUUUUACCAAAUAUUUAUCCAGAUGGGAAACAUGGGAAUUUGUGAUAAAAGUUUAAAUUGUGGAAAACAUUGGCAAUACUAAUGUUCAGUGACUAUUACAUAAAGAUGCAUAUCAAACUGAUAUUCAUCUCUAAGUUCAUAACUAUUUUUAAAAUUCACAUAUUAGAAUUCUCCCUUUUGUACGUUCUUUUGUUUUCCCUCCUCUACAGCAAACCAUCUGACCCCAAGAAUCCAUAAACCGGACACCCCAGGGUAUAAGAAUCGUUUUAUUUUUCCCUUGGCUAUCUUUCCUAAGUUCUACCUUUUAAUUCACAGUGUAUUGCUAUAUACCAGUUAUAUCAAAAAGCCAUUAGAUAAGAAUUCUUCAUACUUUUCUAUUUCAAAAACAUACAUAUAUUUUUUUUUUAGACUUAGACUUUCUUGAGUCUUUCCUAUUUGGAUCUUGAACUGUUUGGGGUCUUCCUCCCUAAUUUUUCAUGAUAUAAUUCUUUUAUUUUAAAUUUUAAAAUUUACUAGCAGACUGUAUUACCUAAAUAUCCUUUGCCCUACCCUCUAUCCUGUGUGGUAAGUUGUUUGCAAAUAUGGCUAUAAUGAUUCUCCACAGUCCUGUACAAACAGCGUUUGCAUUGUGACUUUCUUUUCAUCCCAUCAACAGGUGGAGGAAUCUGUUUCCCCACCCUUUAAAUCCUGGCCUUGUGACUUGCUUUGACCAACAGAAAGAAGUUGCUUCAACUUCAUGCCCUCAAGGUGCCUUGCAGCUUCUGCUCUCCUGCUCUCGCUCUCUUGGACCCCUGAGAUCACCGUGUGAAGCAGCCCAGGCUGGUCUCCCUGAAGAUGAAAAACCAGAAAGAGAGAGAGAAGCCCAGAGAAAAUCCAGCAGCAACACCCGUCAAGUGAAUGAGUCCAUCAUAGACCAUCCAGAUUCAACUGAACCACCUAGGACAGCACCCAUUUGAAUGAGUGACUCUGAGACAGACCAGCAGGAGAGUCAGUUGCACUGAGCCCCGAAAACGCUGAUCCAGACUUACAAGCAAAUAAAAUGGCUGUUGUUUAAAGCUA